UACGUAGGGACCAAGCGUUGUUCGGAUUUACUGGGCGUAAAGGGCGCGUAGGCGGCGUGGUAAGUCACUUGUGAAAUCUCCGAGCUUAACUCGGAACGGUCAAGUGAUACUGCUGUGCUAGAGUGCAGAAAGGGCAAUCGGAAUUCUUGGUGUAGCGGUGAAAUGCGUAGAUAUCAAGAGGAACACCUGAGGCGAAGGCGGGUUGCUAGGCUGACACUGACGCUGAGGCGAGAAAGCUAGGGUAGCAAACGGG
rnacentral:rRNA from 1 species